GCUGCCCUCAGGACAUCCCCGCUCCCCUCAGAGCACGUCCCGGGCCCCGGCUUCCCGCUCCCCUCAGGACAUCCUCGCUGCCUCCCGGGCAUGUUCUGGGCCUCGACCGCCCGCUGCCCUCACGGCACUUCCCGGCCCCCAGCUUUCCGCUCCCCUCAGGGCGUCCUCGCUCCCCUCAGCGCAGUUCCCCCUCGAGGCAAAAGUGGCCACAUCUUAAAUAAGGCUUGGCUUGAUGACACGAAGGCUUUGCUGUAUUACUGGUUCCUACCUGCUCCUGUUCCUGCCCUGGCAACAAGGCACACCAGCCCUUAGCUCUGCACUGUGAACCACAUCAGGACACUGAUCCAGCUGAAAAACAAACCAGGUCCUUGAGUUAAAUAUUUUUUCCAACAAUCAACACCUGGAAAAACAUAUUAUAAUUUGAUUUAAAGUGCUGAUACACUUGAUACCUUACAUUAAACAUGGAAUGCUGACAGGAUUCCAGAUCACAUUCCAGGGAUCACUGAUAAACAGUAAGAAACUUGAGGAAGUUUCUACACCUGCAAUCUAAGGGGGACAAGAGUUUUGGUUUCUUUUUGACCACAAUAGCAAAUAGAAGAGAAGAAUCACUCUUCUGGGACUGGGAAAUAAAAAUUGUCAUGGGCUAGAGGUGAAUCCA
rnacentral:lncRNA from 1 species